ACCCUCAACAUAAUUAAAAUGCAAGCUCAAUUCAGCUGUGUUUGCAGAGAAAUCCUGACACUUAAACAAAAAUAAUGGAUCCAGAGAAGAACAUGGCAUUGUUCCAAGGUGGCACUGUAAGGAGUGGAACUAAAGUAUAACAUUUCAACAAAAGAAGAAUGAAGGACUUGCAUUUACAAAGUCUCUUUUAUUAAAAGUGGCAUUUCCACAGACACCUGGGAAUCACUGGCCAAAGACCAUCCACAGCGGAGGAGGAGCAUCUGGGAAGGUGUUGGGCACCUCAAGAUUUGCCG